rnacentral:rRNA from 1 species
CCAUACGACCGUACCGCAAACCGACACUGGUGCGCGAGAUGAGUAUUCUAAGGCGCUUGAGAGAACUCAGGAGAAGGAACUCGGCAAAUUGACACCGUAACUUCGGAAGAAGGUGUGCCCUAUUAGUGUGUAGUGAACAACGAAGCAUGAAUGGGUUGCAAAAAAUCGGUGGCUGCGACUGUUUAUUAAAAACACAGCACUCUGCAAACACGAAAGUGGACGUAUAGGGUGUGACGCCUGCCCGGUGCUGGAAGAUUAAAUGAUGGGGUGCAAGCUCUUGAUUGAAGUCCCAGUAAACGGCGGCCGUAACGAUAACGGUCCUAAGGUAGCGAAAUUCCUUGUCGGGUAAGUUCCGACCUGCACGAAUGGCGUAACGAUGGCCACACUGUCUCCUCCUGAGACUCAGCGAAGUUGAAAUGUUUGUGAUGAUGCAAUCUCCCCGCGGAAAGACGGAAAGACCCCAUGAACCUUUACUGUAGCUUUGUAUUGGACUUUGAACAGAUCUGUGUAGGAUAGGUGGGAGGCUUUGAAGCAGGGUCGCUAGAUCUUGUGGAGCCAACGUUGAAAUACCACCCUGGUGUGUUUGAGGUUCUAACCUAGGUCCAUUAUCUGGAUCGGGGACAGUGCAUGGUAGGCAGUUUGACUGGGGCGGUCUCCUCCCAAAGCGUAACGGAGGAGUUCGAAGGUACGCUAGUUACGGUCGGACAUCGUGACGAUAGUGCAAUGGCAUAAGCGUGCUUAACUGCGAGACUGACAAGUCGAGCAGAUGCGAAAGCAGGACAUAGUGAUCCGGUGGUUCUGUAUGGAAGGGCCAUCGCUCAACGGAUAAAAGGUACUCUGGGGAUAACAGGCUGAUACCGCCCAAGAGUUCAUAUCGACGGCGGUGUUUGGCACCUCGAUGUCGGCUCAUCUCAUCCUGGGGCUGUAGCCGGUCCCAAGGGUAUGGCUGUUCGCCAUUUAAAGAGGUACGUGAGCUGGGUUUAAAACGUCGUGAGACAGUUUGGUCCCUAUCUUCCGUGGGCGCUGCAGAUUUGAGGAAGCCUGCUCCUAGUACGAGAGGACCGGAGUGGACACACCUCUGGUGUAUCGGUUGUCACGCCAGUGGCAUUGCCGAGUAGCUAAGUGCGGAAGAGAUAACCGCUGAAAGCAUCUAAGCGGGAAACUCGUUUCAAGAUGAGAUCUGCCGGGGCCUUGAGCCCCCUAAAGAGUCGUUCAAGACCAGGACGUUGAUAGGUCAGGUGUGGAAGCG